rnacentral:rRNA from 1 species
UACGUAGGGGGCUAGCGUUGUCCGGAUUGAUUGGGCGUAAAGAGCGUGUAGGCGGCCAGGUAGGUCUGGUGUGAAAACUCGAGGCUUAACCUCGAGAUGUCAUCGGAAACCAUCUGGCUAGAGUCCGGAAGAGGAGAGUGGAAUUCCUGGUGUAGCGGUGAAAUGCGCAGAUAUCAGGAAGAACACCAAUGGCGAAAGCAGCUCUCUGGGACGGUACUGACGCUGAGACGCGAAAGCGUGGGGAGCGAACAGG